GCAAUAUGCUUAACUUCUGAUGAAUGAACAAAAGUAAUUAUUAUUGUCCAUCCAUGUUAUGCAGAUAGACAUACACGGCCGAAGAAAUAACUUGUCUGGUAUGCCUGAACUAUAGGGCCCUUCAAAUUCUAUGCAGCACUUCAGAAUCGGUACUUCAUACUCUAAUUAUUAAAUAUCAGACCAAUUCUAAUCAUCCCUUU
rnacentral:misc_RNA from 1 species